rnacentral:tRNA from 1 species
GCCCGAGUGGUGGAAUGGUAGACACACAGGACUUAAAAUCCUGAGAGGCGAAAGCCUCGUGCCGGUUCGAGUCCGGCCUCGGGUACCA